rnacentral:snRNA from 1 species
GUACUCACUUUGGCAGCACAUAUACUAAAAUUGGAAGACUACAAAGGAGAUUAGCAUGGCCCCCUUUGCAAGGAUAACAUUCAAAUUCAUGAAUUGUUCCAUAUUAAA